rnacentral:rRNA from 1 species
UACGGGGGGGGCAAGCGUUGUUCGGAAUUACUGGGCGUAAAGGGCGCGUAGGCGGCCUGCUAAGUCGGAUGUGAAAUCCCUCGGCUCAACCGAGGAACUGCAUCCGAUACUGGCGGGCUUGAAUCCGGGAGAGGGAUGUGGAAUUCCAGGUGUAGCGGUGGAAUGCGCAGAUAUCAGGAGGAACAUCCGUGGCGAAGGCGGCUCUCUGGUACGGUACUGACGCUGAGACGCGAAAGCGUGGGGAGCGAACAGG